AUAAUUAUUAGCAAGAUUAUUGCAAAUUUAUCAAACAUUGCUUUAAAAUUGUAGUAAGGUUAUUAUUAUAAAAGCAAAGGAAAUAUAAGGGCAUGAGUAUCACAUAUUCAACAAUAAAAAUAUCUUGAGGUAUUUUUCAAAAUAUACGAAUUAAAUGAACACUUAACCAAAAUAUAAGCAUUAAAUAAACAUUUACCCUAUAUGAUCUAAUGAAUUAUUGGUUAGUCUGAGCCCUUGUAUAGCUUCUUCAAGGGGAAGCAUCGUUUAUAUGAAUAUUCGUUUUAGACCCUUCAUAAACAUCAUGAAAUAAUGAUAACAAUAUUCUCUCCUUUUAUCCCGAACGUAAUAUUUUGUUUGCUCAAAAAUACUUCGUAGGUUGAGCAAUGUCAACAUGUUCAUGAAACAUUUUACAAAUCCAAACAGUACUUUAUACACCUGCUUUCAUAAGGCUUUAAAUUUUUUAGUAAGCCGAGUCUGCAGUUUUAGAUACACUUGUACAGCUCCAAAAUCGAUCGAAUUAUCAUACUUGCGCUAACGGGUCCAUACGGAUUUGAGUUGGCUCAAGUUUCCGGGGCAAUUUACGUUAGCUUGUACAUUUACUUUUCUGCAUAAGCAUUUGUGAGUGAUGGGCUACCCAUUGUGGAUGGGGCCAGGGCCUGGUCUACAUUGGUCUUGUGCGAAUUAAUGCUUGAUUUUGUCGAAGUGUGGUUCCAGCAUUUUGCUAACAUCUCAGUCUUCAAAAUUUUCUACCUAAUUUCUGCGAGCACAUUAACUUUCUCAUAUCAUUGGAACAAAUUUCAGAUAUGACGUUUGACUAUCACAUUUGGUUUUAAUUAGUUUUCAAGUGACAUUCAAGUGUUUUUUCUUCUCUUUCUUUUUUCUUUUUUUCCAAUUUCUUUCUGGAUAAACAUUAUUGGACUAUUGGAACAAAUCUAAUACAGAGACUUUGCAUGUAAAUAUGGCAAUAAAUACUGCCUCCUGCCUUCAAUUUUAGUGCAUUUUUUCCAUGCACUCGACUUGGCAAAUUCUAGUCAAAGAGAUAGGCUUUUUGAAGGAAUAUGUGCGGAUUCGAUUGGUUCGGUUUUGGAAAAGAAUCAAAAUAUUUAAGAAAAAAAAAAGGCUUAACAUAAAAUAAAACCAAACCGGAAUUAAAUCGAAACCCAGCCGUUCAAUUUAGGUUCAAUUUUUCUAUUCCAUUAUUGUUAUUUUUAUUUAUUUAUUUUUCAGUCACUAAUAGAAUGACACAUGUCCAAUUUUAUAAAGUUAUUAAAUGUUUUUCUUUUUCAAUUCGGUUUUCAAUUUCAAAGUUAUGAACUGAAACCAAAUAGAAAAAUCAAUUCUCACAAAAAAUUAAACUUGUCAUUUUUUUAUUAAAAAAUAACCCAACUAAACAAGUGAUUUUCAGUUCAAUUCUAGUUUUGUCCACCUCAAAUAUUUCCAUUGCUGUUAUUAGAAUCAUCUAUAUAUUUUUUAUUACCAUUUUUUUUACAGGCUCACUUUCCCAUUGGAAUAAUUUCAAAAUAUAUAAAUGAUAUCUUAUUGUAAAGACAUGUCUAACUAAUUGUACCUUAUAGCAAAUAAUGGUGUAGUAUGCACCCUUUCAUAGUGCGGGAUGCACCCUUUCAUGGUGUCAAAUCAUUUGAAAUGUUGAUGGUUCAAUUUGGACAAUCGAUUAAAAUCAAAUAUUGAUCCAAUAGCCGUGAAUAAAGAGAUAUCAUGAAAGGCGACAACCCAAAAAAUGGUACAAGUAUAUCUAUAAAUAGAGAUCAUGUUUAAGCCAUUUAGAUAUGAAGAAAAUGAUCCUGCACCAUUUUUUUCUCAACCGUCUUUGCUAGAACGAGUUUCAUCAUAUAACUGAAGGACAACAUUUGUCCAUGAGGUUUCUAAAAACGCAACCUUUGAGCAGUAAAAUUAAAACGGAUGGCGGAAGCUCUAUAAACAUCGGAUCGGCUUCAUUCAAAAAUGAAAAUCAAGAGGAAAGAUUGAAGUUUAAUUACUUCACUUGUAGUUUCAAUAACAACUUCGUGGGGUAGGAGAAAAUGACUGAAAAUGGCAAGGUACGAAAAUUGUCCAGGAAAUAGACAACUACACGAACAACUUUUGUUUUAGCACGAUUUGAGAUCCUUAAAGCACCCCAAUUGUGAUGCCCCUAAUUAUUCCACACUUAUAAAUGUUCCAGGAGUUCAUAGGAUUUAGAAUCACCAAAUUACGUUCAGAAAUGAGAGAGAUAAUGAAGAAACAUGAAUGCUAGUUCAUAAUCAUUCAUUCCACCAAAUAAAGCCACCAUUAUCUUUUCAAUAAUGGCACCGAACAUUAUUAUGAGCUAGACCCACCCAUUAAGCCAUUCUUUAUUGAAUGUGAUCUUAUCACUUCAAUAAUUUAAUUAAUUAAAUUAAUUUUGAAUAAAUAAAUCACUAAAUUAAUUAAUUUUGUCUUUAAUUAAUUAAGCCCAUUUUGAUCAAAUCAAAUGGUUAAUUGUGGGAUUCUUUUGUGACAUGUUCUUAUGCCCUUUUCAUAAUCCAUAUUAGGUCCAAUAAAAGCCCAAAAUUCUAAACGCAAAAUUGGUCUAGAAGUCCAUAAUCAUUAUGAACCGAAACAUGUCCAAUAUGGUCAUUUUACGUGCUCGAUCUUAUAUAUAAUGUUUGAUUGAGGAUUUAUGAAAGUUACUUUGUUCGUUAAACUAUUUAUGGAACAUCUAAAUUUCUAUCUUAAAUCAUAUUUAAGAUAUAUUUAUAUAUAUUCAUUCUUAAUAAAUUAUAAUAUAAAUAUUGAUUUUCCUAAAAUUAAGAAAUUUAACUUCUCAUUUUCUGGUAACUCCCUUUUUUAUUUCUAUUAGGUGAGUGACUUUUUAGGUUCUUUAUUAUAAGGUAGUAGAACUAUUUUAAUGAUAAAUCUUUGUUCAUUAAAUGAUGCUAAACUCUUUAGUCAUCAAUUAGAACUUUUCUAAUUACCUUAAGAUGCAUUGCUAAUACGCUUUACCAAUAAUGAUCUUAAGGUUUCUACAAGUCAUGAGUGACACCUAGUAGUAUUUCACAACCAUCCAAAUAACAAGAAUUGUUCGAUCUAUAGAAUCUAUUCCAUUGUUUCUCUAUGUUUUGGUCUCUUCAUCAUCCAUGGCCAAGGAUUUCUCGUGCCAAUUCAUAUUAUCUUACAGAGACAUCAUUUUUGUAUAUUACAAAGUGAUGAAUAUCAUAUUGGUCAUACACUUGUCUCCAUACAUAGCCAACCAUGACAGCUAUUGCUAGAUCUCUUCCUUGAUUAGGAAUCAAUGCUUAUGAUUUCACAUAUCAGAAAUGUCUAUGUACAAGAUAUUUGUGAUGCCUCGGGUCUAAAGACCAUAUGAUUUUGGGUGUUAAUGGCUUAUUAUAUUUGGUCAAGUUUAGUAAACUCGUUCUCGCAACAAGUACCUAUAUGUUUGACUUGACAUCUCAUGUCAAUGAUAUGAAACUCACCAUUCAUUUUAGUAUCACAUACCAUAAAUGAGUCAUAACACAUACUAGUGUUUAUAAGAAUUUAUGACGUUCAAUCAUAAAUCUACCACUAGGAACUAUUUUAGAAGCAUAGUACAAAUUAUACAUGUUUCAUAUUCUCGACAAACUCGAGAAUGUGUUCCUUAACUAUUUUACUUCUUGGACUAUAUUCAUUAAAUUAAUUUAUGAAUGUUGAUAACUUUGUCAUUUUAUAAAUAUCAAAAUGCUAUUCAAAUACAAUAAUUCCCUAAAAACAAACACCAUUUGAUUGGCCUUUAGGGCAUAUUACUAACAAUAACAUCUAUAUUUUAUAUAUCGAAUACCUAAUAUAUUGUUUAUUACAAAAAUAAUAUAUGGGUAAACUUCACUGUGUCCCCUACUAAAGUAACUAUCUUCAAAAUACCCCUCAAAGAUAUGAAAAUAUCACUCUACCUCCCAAUUACUGUGAUCUCCCUAUUAAAGUUAACGUUUAAAGGGCAAAAUCGUAUUUGAACAAAUACCAUAGCAAGCAUUAGCCUAAAGGAAUGUAACUAAUAGCAUAGUUAUAUGACAUAUCAAAUCAAGAUAGCUUUUCAACUACCCUUAAUUUUUUUAUAAUUUUAUAUAGGGUAUAAUAUAAUAAGUUAUUUUCAUUAUUUUAAAUGGGAAAAUAUAUUAGUGGUUAAAUGUAGAAACAGCAAAGAAUUCUUUUCUCUUGGCGCGAACCAUCGUCUUUUAACCAUGUAGAGAGAGAAACUUUGAAACAGAGCAUCAUCAUAUUCGUCAUAAACAAUGCAUUUUUGUUCGAAAUAGUACCAAAAAAGUGACAAUUGGAGAGAGGCUCUGCUAGUAACAACAACCUUAGGAUGGCAGAGGUAAGGAAUUUUUUUAAUUUAGUUAUUUACAUUACAAUGGAUUUAGCAAAAAUUUUUUUAAAUGUAGGAUAGUUUUAAGUAAAAAAAUAAUCUAUACAUAUGAAAAAGUUGUGUUAUUGUUGUUAUUAUUUGAAGAAAAAUGGGUUUAAACCAUAGUUCUUAGUGAAUUGGGGCUUUCUAUUUUCAUUGUACCAUUAACAAAAUUUAUAGUAUUUCCUUUAGAAAUGAGGGUUGAAGACAAAAAAAAAAAAAAGCAUAUAUAUUUUUAUGAAUUAUCGAUUUAUAUUCCCUUGAGUGGUUGUUUACCAAACGUAACUAAGAAAUUGUGUUAUUAAUAUAUAACCUAUGGGCAUGUUUGUUACAUUGCAUUAUGGGGUAUUAAAUAUUAUUCACAUUAAAAAAAUACCAACCCUAUGUUUGGAGCAAAUUUCCAAGGGAUUAAAGUGGGUGGUGCCUCAUUAGCUUGCUUGCCUCUUUUUUUUU
rnacentral:lncRNA from 1 species